GUCGUUUAUGUAGCAAACAAAUACACAAUUUUGAAAGCCAAUAAUAUACAAGCAGGGUCUGUUUUUGAAAUGCACAAAGUGCCAAAAAAUGUGUUUGUUUCUUUCAUGUGUGCAUCCUUUAAACUGCAAAUCACCAACCUGUGCUUACCGUGGGCUUCUAUAUUUAUGCAAAAAUUAUAAUAAUGUCAUUAAAUAACAAGUUCUGGAAAGAGUUAACAGUCACCCCUGUUGACAGAUGAAGUGAUGAUGAAGAAGAACAGAUGAGUAUAAACAGAUGGAUGCAUGGAGGCCUGCCCUGUAUGAUUUAUAACUGUGGGUCUGUCAGUGUUUACUGCCAAAAAAAUUGGCUUGUUUCAGCAAUAACAUGCAUACACACAAUCUCACUCACAUCAAAACAUCAGACCAACUACAAUGGACCUUUCUCCCACAUUUUACCUCACUCUCAGUGGAAUUUCAGCUUCACGGCUGCUUUCAAAUCCAAAAACUUUGUACCUCCCAGGUUUCCUCGUCAUUGCUUCGGAGCCAGCAGAAGACAUGGAGCGGCAAGCUGGAAAAGAAUACACGCAGAAACCUGAACACACCCAUGUUUUAUAUUUGAAGUUUGGAAAGUUUUUUUAUCCACCUUAAAAAUCUGGCAAUCUCACAAACCUCAAAAGACUGAAGUUAAAUUCUCUCCAGCCUUAAAAUCUGUGAGCUGUCUUAGAUUUGUCCCACUUACUUUUUAUGAAAAUCAAUCUGCAAACUUGGUGUCUGGAUCCAAGAGAGCAGAGGAAAAAAUAUUUUGGAGAUGAACUUGACUUUGUUCUGCUGCGGCCAAAAAUGGUUUUCUCUGCCCCAUGUCUAAGUGCCUUGGUGUUUGUCGAGGUUUUUGCUUUAAACCGCAAUCCUGCCACAGCAAAACAGAAAUGACGAACAAAAAGAGGGAGUCUCGGGAAAGAGAAAAUGAGGUGAUAAACCAGAUUCAGCAAACUGAUGUAAGUGAGAAUGGUUGAUGUGUUUUUCUUGUAUUUUCUGCAAGUAUUGGCAGGGUGACUCAGGACUCGUGCAUAAUCAGGUUAUAUCAGUGUCCUUUGGCUAGCUGAUCACAUUAAAUCAUCACAUGUGACAUCUGCAUUACAUUACAUACCUCCAUCGUGUCUAGUGAAAGGCAAUGAAAACUCUGGGCUGCUGGGCUUUUCUUUCAUAAUCACUUUAAUAUAUGCAACAACAUCUGUAUUGUUGCUCAUUCUAUUUAAUGAUAUAAAACAUAUUAGAGGUCAAAUAGUUUGUCAGCUAAUCAGUACAUUAACAAAAACUCUUCACAUUAUCUUCUUAAACUUUCUGUGUGACAGGAUUUUGUAUUUUUUUAAUAUUUUAUAGAAGAAACAACAAAAUAAUCAUUAGAUAAAUCACUAAUGCCAAUAAAUGUUUCAACAAUACAGUGUUCAGACCAAAGUUUUGCCACAAAUACAGUUACAACCAAUAACUGACAUCUUCUUUUGUUGUUGUUGUUUUUCUACAUUAAAGCAAAGGUAAAUCUUUCAGCUGCAGGUGUGUACAAGCAGCAGUAAGUUUGUACCGCACACAGGCUUUUACUGCCAAGCAUGAUGGGUUUUUUUUUUUUUUUACCUGUUCUUAAAAUAUUUGAAAUAUUGUAUUUGCAUCACUUUGCAUCUUUGACUUUCUAUUUACUCUGCAUAAAAUCAAAAUUUGCAUAAGUUUAAUCUGGAAAGUAGACCAUUAGAUUGUAUAUAAAAGUGAGCAUUGUGGCCAGUGGCAUUACUGUUUUGGUCUUUUUGAAACUAGCCAUGAAAAGCAUGGGAGGAUCUGUCUGAGAAACUCAAUGCUGAAGAAAGAAGCCAGCCAACCAAAGGCAGGCCCUGCUUUACUAUUUUAUUCUCAAUGAAACUACAAUUUAGAAAUUAAAGAUUGUGCUAUAUUUAAAAAAUACCUGGUAAAAAGUGUUCACUGAGGUUUAAGACUUUCACUUUUUCAGGCUAUGUCACUGAAUCCAGUUUUUGAUUGCAGCCCUAAGCCACACCCACACAAACACUGCCUGCAUCGAUAUCAUAUAAUGGAGUUUGUUUUUUUUUAUUGUAGAAAUCUCCAUAAAUAGGUGUGCGUUAAAGAGUAAACCCCUGGCUGGAUUUUACAGCAGAUUAUUUCAUUCUCAUUCAAAUUCUUCUUAGACAGGCAGAAGGAUAUGUGGAAAUUCUUUUUGGAGCACAGAAAGCGAUAAAGCAAAAUGUGACUGUGUGGCGGCCAGGCCUCUGAGUUUCUCUCAUUUAUCUUCUAGAGGCGUCAGAUUCAGCACUUUGGCUGCAGAGUUAUUACUUCCUUUGUAAAACAACAGCCAGAAAUAACACCCUCGACUCCUUCCAUAUUUUUUCUAUCUGUUUGUUUGUCAUCUCCUUUUUAAAAAAUGAUACGUUAAGUUAACCAUAAAAACAAGCAAAAGCAGGUUGAAUUUUUUUUUUGUAAAUCAUUUUGUACUGGCAUUAGUUUUUUAGAAAAUAAAGGGCGGUUUGUAGCAUACUACAGUAUUUAUACAUGUUUUGUUAUUUGUAAUUUUAAUAUGUUUCUUUAAUUAAAGUUACAGUAUAUCAUAACAUCCAAGUGGCAGUUUCUUCAGCUUUUGUUUCCAGCUCAAAUUUUGUGCCAUUUCAUUUCCAACUUAACAAACAGGAAGUAAAGGGACAAAAAAUUGCGAUUUUUUUUUUUUAAACUGGGUGAAUGUAAGACUGAAUUGGGAAAAAAAGCAUGUUGAUUUGUUCAGAUCAUAUUCUCUGUAUUUUUCAUCAGACUUAAUUUCUUUGGACAUUUCUAAAUAAAAAGAGCUGCAGAUUGGUGACAAAAUAAAUACAAAAAAACACUGAACCCCAUAUAGUGAAAGGAUCUGAUUGUUCUAUUAUGCAUUAGGGGCCAUUGUGCUGCUUUUUCUUUGGUUCAAAAAGCUUGAAAAUCACAAAUGUAGGUAUGUUGUGAGAGGAAGGUAGGAUGCCCAGACAUGCCAGAGAAAACUUGGAUGAGUGGCAAAGGUGAAAGGACACCCACGCUUUCUUUGUACCCGAAAAACUGAACAUACUGGUGAACAACAGCAUCAUAUACUUUAGUUCAAGGGCAUCAAACCGUGGGUGUUUAUAUAAGUCCUACAAAUGAUGAGAGUAUUUGAGAGCACUUUUUAAAAACAGGUUGAGGCCUUCCAAAAACAGCAACUGCAGAGAAAAGCUUAAAUUUACCUCAGAUGAAUCUAAUCUGCUGGUGAAUACAUUGCAGGCUAAUCAUAUACUAUUACCUUAUGGGUACAAUUUAUCAGGCAGAAAAUGUAAACCAGUGUCUUCUACUGUGGGCUUUCUUUUCUUGGUUCUGUUUAUUUUGACUCAGUUCAAGGUAACUGGCUGAGCUGCAGUGUGUUAGACAUCAGCAGAGCAAAACUGUUGUGCUGUGAUUAACUGGCUAGUUAGCGACUCCUCUGAUCUCAGAUAAUAGUUUGAGUACAAAAACACCCUCAUGUCAUUACUCAGAAAUACCCUUGGAAGUGACCACAUACUGCAACCAUCUUGUAAUGUUUUCUCAUUUUCAUUCAAUUACAUUUAACAGCAAAAAAAAACUGUCCUUGUGGAUUGUAAUGUCUUGGCUGUGUUCUGUGUAUCUUUUAUAACACUGUGCUGCUCGUAACAGAUAGAAGAGCUUAGGAAUUAAAAAAAGGAUUUCACCUGAAAACUCACAGAGCUUUUUACUUUGUGUACUGUUUAUAUGUGCCACUAAAAUGCUGCAUAUGUACUGCUGAAAUAAUAAAAUGUAGAUUUGUUUAAA
ensembl:lncRNA